AUCUAUAUCUCUGCAUCUCGAGAAAAUUCUGCUCUUGACUUUUGAAUGUCAAGAAGGUGAUCCAAAGCAAUGCAUCCUCUGGCUGCACCUUCCUGAACAGGAAAUAAAGGCUCAGACUGUAGAGCAUGAAGACAGAGACAGGGGAGGGGGCUUCUGUGGUCAGCCAACCCCCGAGGCCUCACCCUAAGCCUCUGGAGGGUCCUGGCUCCUCAGCCCCGAGUGCACACAGCAGUAUCUGAGCCCCACGGGUUUCAGGGCAGCCCCAGCUCUGUCUCACUUGUGCCUCCACCGUCUGCCCUGCCCUCAGGGUGACCGAGUUCCCCCGGGAAGGAUGGCUUUUUCCAGAAGCCCCUCUCCUGAACCCCCGCCCAGCACGGGCUCUCCUGUUCUGCUGACCGGAAGCCCAGGGGCUCCACAAAGAGCCUGCUCACCUGCACCCUGCCGGAUGCCACUUCCUGU
rnacentral:lncRNA from 1 species